rnacentral:rRNA from 1 species
GAUCCUGGCUCAGGACGAACGCUGGCGGCGUGCCUAACACAUGCAAGUCGAACGGAAGUUGGAGCUUCGGUUUUAACUUUAGUGGCGAACGGGUGAGUAACGCGUGAGGAACCUGCCUUUCAGUGGGGGACAACAGUUGGAAACGACUGCUAAUACCGCAUGACACUUUUGGGAGACAUCUCCUGGAAGUCAAAGCUUUAUGUGCUGAAAGAUGGCCUCGCGUCUGAUUAGCUGGUUGGUGAGGUAACGG